CGCUCGCGGCUCCGACGACGCGUUCGGAGGAGAGGCCGACGGGUGAAGCGGCCGAAGGAACGUCGGCGGCAUCACCGGAGGCGGUGGAGCCGGAUGUAGUUCGGGAAACCGAACAUCAUCCGACGGCGUCUGUGGCCGCAGCGGGGGGUGCUGGUUCUACUUCGAGCAUCCCCUCGCUGCUGGUUCCGUCGGUCGGGGCGGCCGAUCGAGGGAAAGCCCCGAUGGACCCUGCGGACGA
rnacentral:lncRNA from 1 species